CUGACCUUAGCUCAGUGGUAGAGUGGUGGACUGUAGUUGGACUAAUCUAAAUUGGAAAUCCUUAGGUCGCUGGUUUGAUUCCGGCAGGUUGGA
rfam:Ipomoea nil DNA, scaffold: scaffold2876, cultivar: Tokyo-kokei standard.